rnacentral:rRNA from 1 species
CCUACGGGUGGCAGCAGUGGGGAAUAUUGGGCAAUGGGCGCAAGCCUGACCCAGCAACGCCGCGUGAAGGAAGAAGGCUUUCGGGUUGGAAACUUCUUUUGUCAGGGAAGAGUAGAAGACGGUACCUGACGAAUAAGCCACUGCUAACUACGUGCCAGCCGCCUCGGUAAUACGUAGGUGGCAAGCGUUGUCCGAAUUUACUGGGUGUAAAGGGCGUGUAGCCGGGUUGACAAGUCAGAUGUGAAAUCCUGCGGCUUAACCGAAGAACUGCAUUUGAAACUGUUGAUCUUGAGUACUGGAGAGGCAAAUGGAAUUCGUAGUGUAGCGGUGAAAUGCGUAGAUAUUAGGAGGAACACCAGUGGCGAAGGCGGUCUGCUGGACAGCAACUGACGGUGAGGCGCGAAAGCGUGGGGAGCAAACAGGAUUAGAUACCCUGGUAGUC